rnacentral:rRNA from 1 species
UACGUAGGGUGCAAGCGUGAAUCGGAAUUACUGGGCGUAAAGCGUGCGCAGGCGGUUUUGUAAGUCUGAUGUGAAAUCCCCGGGCUCAACCUGGGAAUUGCAUUGGAGACUGCAAGGCUAGAAUCUGGCAGAGGGGGGUAGAAUUCCACGUGUAGCAGUGAAAUGCGUAGAGAUGUGGAGGAACACCGAUGGCGAAGGCAGCCCCCUGGGUCAAGAUUGACGCUCAUGCACGAAAGCGUGGGGAGCAAACAGG